rnacentral:rRNA from 1 species
GCUGACGAGCGGCGGACGGGUGAGUAAUGCAUAGGAAUCUGCCCGAUAGUGGGGGAUAACCUGGGGAAACCCAGGCUAAUACCGCAUACGUCCUACGGGAGAAAGGGGGCUCCGGCUCCCGCUAUGGGAUGAGCCUAUGUCGGAUUAGCUAGUUGGUGAGGUAACGGCUCACCAAGGCCACGAUCCGUAGCUGGUCUGAGAGGAUGAUCAGCCACAUCGGGACUGAGACACGGCCCGAACUCCUACGGGAGGCAGCAGUGGGGAAUAUUGGACAAUGGGGGAAACCCUGAUCCAGCCAUGCCGCGUGUGUGAAGAAGGCCCUCGGGUUGUAAAGCACUUUCAGCGAGGAAGAACGCCUAGCGGUUAAUACCCGCUAGGAAAGACAUCACUCGCAGAAGAAGCACCGGCUAACUCCGUGCCAGCAGCCGCGGUAAUACGGAGGGUGCAAGCGUUAAUCGGAAUUACUGGGCGUAAAGCGCGCGUAGGUGGCUUG